CCAACUUUCGUCGUGAGCGGUUCGUUCGCUACUUUCGCGCGCGUCUUGCGUUUGAAUAUUUUUGAAAAAGCGGUUGCCAUUAUAUGCAACUGCAUUCGUGCUAAAUCUCUGAGAACACUAAGAAUCGAAUUCGAAAAUCUUUUGAUUCAAAUCACAUAAACGAAACGUUUUUUUGUUUUGCGUUAAAGAAAAGUGCAGCCGCGAGUGCUCAAGAAUUCAUAUUAUUUUUUGUGGCAAGCAACAAGUGCGAACCAAAGAAACAGCCCGAAACGUGCUGCAAAUUAUUAUUGUUUUUAUGCGGUUUUUUUGUCGCAACACAGCUGUCGAAGAAAUAUAAAAAAACAGCAAAACAAAAGUGCAGUGACUUGAAUAAAAGAAGCGAUCGCCUCUAGAAUAGAAAAAAAGGAGAAAAUAAAAUACAGCAAAAGAAAGGAAAACAAAAGAAAGCAGGAAAAAGAAUAGAAACAGAACAGAACAGAAACAAGAACAACUCAUCAUCGUCGGCUCAAAAAAGGUGAGUAAUUCCAUCAUUUCGCUAAUCUUGAUUCGGAAAUCUUUUGGUAAGUGGGCUAACUGUUUUCAAGGGAAAGAAGCACAUCCAUUAAUCUUGGCAAAAGUUCCUGAUUCUCGGUUCCCCAAAAAGUGACUCAUGGUAGAACACUCGAUUCGAACUUCCCUCUCUCUUUCGCAGUUCCUUUCAUCUUUGUCUAACUGCAGUCCCUGCAUGACUAACAUCCACAUUUAUAAGUGAAGUACAGCUGGGGGAAAAAAAGAAAAACAAAAAAAAUAUUACCCGAAAAAAAUGAUAAAUGUAGUAAUAACAGAAACAAACAUUGAAAGUAUUAAUUGGGAUAUUGGUAUGCAUUCUGUUACUAAAAAAGCAAAAUAAAUUCGUUUUCAUAGUUUGGCAAACCAGAUCUUGUUCCAAAAAUAUUUUAAUAAUCUUCUGACAUAAGCUCAAAGCAUCACCCACUAAUAAUUUACCCUUAGCUGUGCUUUGCCGAUUCUCGGUUCUCGGUUUGUUUUGUAUCUCUGGCUUUCUGCUGCUUUUGGCCAUUUAUUGCCGGUCUGAAAAGAACUUGGCAAAGACCAAAACAAAUUUAUAUCUCUCGGAUACUGACUCAUCCGCUAGAGAUGGGGAGAUGAUGCAGCUGACAUCAGUGGAGCACACAGCAAUGCGAUGCGAUGACUGUUCGAGGGACUGACAGACCCAUCGACCCACCAACCGACCGAGUGGCUGACCUCUCUUCUCCCUUUUCUGCAGUUUUUAAUUAAAAAACAUUUUCGGAUUUUUAAGGGUAACCUUGCGACCCCGCCCUCGGUGCCGCCGGGUCACCCACAACAAAAUAUAUCGGCGAACAAAAUCGGGGGUACCACAUAAAAUAGACAAAAGCAUUGAAAAGUUCACAAAUUGCCUUUCACUUUUAUCAGUCAUGGCUACAAUUGAGGAGGAAAUGCAGAUACAGAUACAGAUUCGGCCCGUUCGCAUUAAUGGUUAUAGCCACCCGAUCCGCUGUUGGGUAAUGCCGGUCAGUUCACUCACCUUUGACCAUCCGCAGCCGAAGCCAUUUGGAUGAAGGUCCCCAGCUCUAUCUGCUCUCCCACUCCCACUCCCACUUUGUUUCUCCUCUCUUUCUACUUGUGCCCCAUCGAUCUUAUCAACUGACGAAUGGUUCGAUGCCCCACAAUCCGAAAUCUCAAAUGCCAAAUCUACAAUCCACUGGCCGCAGAAGAAACACACACGAAACGUGUUCAUAAUUUGUCAAACAAAAAAAUAAACAAUGCGAAGAUGCCUAUGAGAUGACACAAAGUCACAGUGGAACGAAUACUAUUUAUAGGGGUAAUAUGUACAAGAAGUAUGUAUCACAGUUUGAUACUUUAUUAAAUGGCAAUAGCAUAGGAUAAAUAUUGAUAUGUAAGUGAUUUAUUCACUAACAUUCCCUACAACUUACAUAAUUAUUGCCUUCUCGAACUUUUUUAAUAUGACUAUUUUAUUAUUCUUGAAUUUGCUGCACAGUGGAACAAAAAUCUGAAGAUAAUGAAAAAUCUUUUUUAAUUAUUCAAAAUGUUUUAUAAAAGAAACAAUUUUUUCUGAAUGUAUAUGUUUAACUCAAAAAGGUGCCAAUGAAUUCGCGCUCAAUUAUGAAAUUUCCUUAAAAAAGAAAUGCUAUUAUUAUUUAACAGUCAAACGUUUUUAGCACCACUGUGGUGCGGUGGUGCGUCAGUGGCGUUUUCGUUGCCGUCAGCUGUCGGCGGUUUCUUGAACUCAAACGGAUGUCAUCUUGCGCCUCGUUCUCUGCUCAUCAAACUUAAUUGGGCAUUCGGCGGCCACCGCACCACCCACUCACCCACCUUCGCCUUUUGCACCUUCCCCUCACAUUUCCCGUGCAAAAUGCAAAUUAAAUAUCAUUUAAUGCCAAAGUAAAGAAAAAUAUACGAGAAAUGUACGAAAAAUGUUACCUUGAACCUUCAAAAAGUUUGUUGGCAGCUAUAGCCAUCUUUUUCGACCCGCAGAUCGGCCAUCUCUUUCGGAUCCGGAAGUUUAGCCAAAUGUUAUUGUUGUGCCGGUUAUUUCAUAGCUUUUUAAAUGGUCCAAAGAUUGUGAUGAUUAUACAAAUAUGUGCAAACGAAUCUUUAAGUGUUAUUGUUUUUUUCGCUUUGUUUAUGAAUUUUCUUUCGAAGUCAAAACCAAAAUGUUUCUAUAAUUCAUUGGCGCUGGCGCUUUUCAUUUGCCAGUAAUCGGAAAGUGACUCAAAAUGCUUUAAUUUAAAAAUAAUUUGAAUGCAGAUUCAGCACACUGGACAGUGCAUUUCGGCAAAAUAUGUUUCGAUUUUAAAAGGCUAUUUUAACUUAUUUAUAUAUUUCAUAAAUGUAUUACCAAAAAAGCAAAUAUUUUUCAAAUUCAAUAAAAAUUAAUUUAAAAUAUUUAUAAUGCAUAUUUAAUUAAUAUUUAAGAUGAGAUGUGACAAACUGUUCCCAAUACUAUAUAUCUUCCCAUUUAAUGUUGAUACGUGCUUUGGUGAUCAAAAUAAAUGUUCGUAAUGGCGAUAAUUGUUGUUAAAUGCUUGCCAUGCGAAACAAUGAGAGCGAACUAAAGAACUAUAAUUUUGCGUCUUGCAUCUAUGGCUAAAGUGACUGUAUCUGGACAUCUGCAGCUGUAUCUGUAUCUGUGUAUCCGUAUCUGUAUCGCGACUUUAUAUGGCAAAGCAGCCAGCCAGCUGUAUGUUAAUUUGUUUGCUUUGUUUUGUCGCAUUUGCCAUUUCAUAAAGUUUCAUAAAUUAUUGCACAAUUAACCUUGAACGCGGAGCGUUUUUAGCUUCAAGGGGGAGAAUAUACGAUGUGAUGUGAUGUUUUUCCCUUCUUAAGUUUUCCUUUUGACGAUCCGCGAUCUGCGAUCUUGAGAACUCUGCGUUGGCCGUCGGUUCUUUUUGCCCUCAGACAUCGGCAGAUAACCCAUUUGACACUCGACUUUAUGACAGUUUGCGACUCAUUUAAAGCGUAUUAAGUUCUUGCUUUUUUCGCUUUUGCUUUCCACUGUUCUCUGUUUUUUGUUUUUUUCCGCUCCUAUUAUUUUUUUGUGCCCCACACUCAUUAUUAUUAUUUGUGCUUUUUUCUUGCGAACUCAGCGAAGGACUAAUGUCGAUUUUCCCUGGUUGUUCGCAUCAUCAAAUGGGUGUACUCGUGACCCCCACUAAUUUCAUCUGAAGGUUUCCUGGGCUUUCCCAAGAUGUUUGCUUUGUUUGUAUAGAUUUUCUGAGUGCAAUGAACAGUGAAAUUUGAUGUCGUGAAAAGACAGAGUUCGCUAUACGGAAGUUCACGCCGAUGAAGUGAUGGUUGUAUUAUACAUCGAGAAUAUUCUUAUCAACUUUUUAAAUAUAUGUUGUAGCGUUUUGAUGCGAUUUUGUGUAAUUGCCCAGCAACCAAAACCUUUGAGUUAUUUUUAAUAGUAUCUCCAAAAAAAAACAGAUACUUCUUAUAUAAUUUUUAGUUAAGUUGUUUGUUGUUGCUUCGAAAACUAAAAAAAAUGUGAUGACAUCAGCGGAAUACAAUUUCAGACGGACUGCUUACUUAUCCCAAUUAUUAUUUUCGAUUUUAUAUGGCUAUUCAAUUACUCCAUUUUCGAUAUAUUUUCCUGCUUUGGCAACUGCCGCCUUUUAUGUUAUUUUUAUAUAUUUCAGGCCUGAUCUUAAUUAGAUCCACUAACAUAUUGCUCUCCACGCAUUGGGAAACUUUUCUUUUUUCGAGCUUUGUUUUAUAUUGCGUUUCCCACUUUGUGAUGAUUGAUCGACUUUCUUACACUGACCCAAAAACGAAUAGUUUCAAAACAAAGUUCCAAUUUGCAAUAGUAAACUAAUUAGCUGAAAAAACGAGCAAAAUACAUAUAUCUGACGGAAUCAUUAGGACAAGUGGAAAAGUUUUUCUUUAAAAACCACAAAUUCCUCUUUUCAUUUUGGUUUUCUUACUUAUUUUGAUCUUUCUCAUAUGUAAAGUUUGUUUUGACUUAUGUUUGGCAUUUUGUUUGUGUAACCGAGAAUGUUUUACCCUGAAGUUAACAAAUCUGCAUAUAAUUGGUCUCUAAGGUUGGAAAGAAAGGGGUAGCUCGUAAAAGAGUCGGACUGCUGUGGUGACCACGCUUGGUUAGCUUUCCAUUCCAGAACAUCCUUUGAAGCGGAGUUCCGCUAUUGAUGAUGAUGGAUGUGGAAAGUGGAAAAGUCGAGCGCAAGAGAGGCGAAUUAUGGCAAAAAGAGAGGGCCCUAGCCUCCACACCCUUUCCCAAACACUCCCUUUUCACAACAAAUAAAUGCUGCACCCAUCAUUUGAACCUGCUCCAACCAAAAAAAAAAAAAAAAAAUAAACACAGCAACAGUGAAAGAGUUGCAGG